AAACCAACCGGGAUUGCCUUAGUAACGGCGAGUGAAGCGGCAAAAGCUCAAAUUUGAAAUCUGGUACCUUCGGUGCCCGAGUUGUAAUUUGGAGAGGGCAACUUUGGGGCCGUUCCUUGUCUAUGUUCCUUGGAACAGGACGUCAUAGAGGGUGAGAAUCCCGUGUGGCGAGGAGUGCGGUUCUUUGUAAAGUGCCUUCGAAGAGUCGAGUUGUUUGGGAAUGCAGCUCUAAGUGGGUGGUAAAUUCCAUCUAAAGCUAAAUAUUGGCGAGAGACCGAUAGCGAACAAGUACAGUGAUGGAAAGAUGAAAAGAACUUUGAAAAGAGAGUGAAAAAGUACGUGAAAUUGUUGAAAGGGAAGGGCAUUUGAUCAGACAUGGUGUUUUGUGCCCUCUGCUCCUUGUGGGUAGGGGAAUCUCGCAUUUCACUGGGCCAGCAUCAGUUUUGGUGGCAGGAUAAAUCCAUAGGAAUGUAGCUUGCCUCGGUAAGUAUUAUAGCCUGUGGGAAUACUGCCAGCUGGGACUGAGGACUGCGACGUAAGUCAAGGAUGCUGGCACAAUGGUUAUAUGCCGC
rnacentral:rRNA from 1 species